rnacentral:rRNA from 1 species
GAUGAACGCUGGCGGCGUGCCUAAUACAUGCAAGUCGAGCGAACAGACGAGGAGCUUGCUCCUCUGACGUUAGCGGCGGACGGGUGAGUAACACGUGGAUAACCUAUCUAUAAGACUGGGAUAACUUCGGGAAACCGGAGCUAAUACCGGAUAAUAUAUUGAACCGCAUGGUUCAAUAGUGAAAGACGGUUUUGCUGUCACUUAUAGAUGGAUCCGCGCCGCAUUAGCUAGUUGGUAAGGUAACGGCUUACCAAGGCGACGAUGCGUAGCCGACCUGAGAGUGUGAUCGGCCACACUGGGACUUGCACCCGGUCCAGGCUCCUACGGGAGGCAGCAGUAGGGAAUCUUCCGCGAUGGGCGAAAGCCUGACGGGGCAACGCCGCGUGAGUGAUGAAGGUCUUCGGAUCGUAAAACUCUGUUAUUAGGGAAGACCAAAUGUGUAAGUAACUAUGCACGUCUUGACGGUACCUGAUCAGACAGCCACGGCUACCUACGUG